rnacentral:rRNA from 1 species
AUUGAACGCUGGCGGCAGGCUUAACACAUGCAAGUCGAGCGAGCGGCGGACGGGUGAGUAAUGUCUGGGAAACUGCCUGAUGGAGGGGGAUAACUACUGGAACGGGUACCUAUUCCGGCAUACCAUCAGAGUUGCCCAGAUGGGAUUAGCUAGUGGGUGGGGUAAUGGCUCACCUAGGCGACGAUCCCUAGCUGGUCUGAGAGGAUGACCAGCCACACUGGAACUGAGACACGGUCCAGACUCCUACGGGAGGCAGCAGUGGGGAAUAUUGCACAAUGGGCGCAAGCCUGAUGCAGCCAUGCCGCGUGUGUGAAGAAGGCCUUCGGGUUGUAAAGCACUUUCAGCGAGGAGGCGUUACUCGCAGAAGAAGCACCGGCUAACUCCGUGCCAGCAGCCGCGGUAAUUC